rnacentral:misc_RNA from 1 species
GAACUGCGAUAAGUAAUGUGAAUUGCAGAAUUCAGUGAAUCAUCGAGUCUUUGAACGCACAUUGCGCCCCCUGGCAUUCCGGGGGGCAUGCCUGUCCGAGCGUCAUUGCUGCCCUUCAAGCCCGGCUUGUGUGUUGAGUCGUCGUCCCCUCCGGGGGACGGGCCCGAAAGGCAGCGGCGGCACCGCGUCCGGUCCUCGAGCGUAUGGGGCUUUGUCACCCGCUCGAUAAGGACCGGCCGGGCGCCAGCCGGCGUCUCCAACCUUUUUUUCUCAGGUUGACCUCGGAUCAGGUAGGGAUACCCGCUGAACUUAAGC